GACAGAGGGUGCAAACGUUGUUCGGAAUUACUGGGCGUAAAGCGCGUGUAGGCGGCCAUCUAAGUCGGGCGUGAAAUCCCACGGCUCAACCGUGGAAGUGCACUCGAAACUGGAUGGCUAGAGUCCUGGAGAGGAAGGUGGAAUGCUUGGUGUAGCGGUGAAAUGCGUAGAUAUCGGAAGGAACACCAGUGGCGAAAGCGGCUCCCUGGUCCAGCACCGACGUUCAGGCACGAAAGCGUGGGGAGCAAACAGG
rnacentral:rRNA from 1 species